GUUGUAUGGUUAAGUGACUAAGCGUACACGGUGGAUGCCUGGGCAGUCAGAGGCGAUGAAGGACGUACUAACUUGCGAUAAGCGCAGAUAAAGCAGUAAGAGCCGUUUGAGUCUGCGAUUUCCGAAUGAGAAAACCAACUGCAUAAGCAGUUACUGUUAACUGAAUACAUAGGUUAAGAGAGCAAACCGGGGAACUGAAACAUCUAAGUAUCCCGAGGAGAAGAAAUCAACCGAGAUUCCGGUAGUAGCGGCGAGCGAACCUGGAUUAGCCCUUAAGCACUCGGUGAAGUAGGUGAACAAGCUGGAAAGCUUGGCGAUACAGGGUGAUAGCCCGGAACCGACGCUUCAACGAGCGUGAAAUCGAGUAGGGCGGGACACGUGAUAUCCUGUCUGGAUAUGGGGACCAUCCUCCAAGGCUAAAUACUCCUGACUGACCGAUAGUGAACCAGUACCGUGAGGGAAAGGCGAAAAGAACCCUGUGAGGGGAGUGAAAUAGAACCUGAAACCGUGUACGUACAAGCAGUAGGAGCACCUUCGUGGUGUGACUGCGUACCUUUGUAUAAUGGGUCAGCGACUUAGAUUCAGUGGCAAGGUUAACCGUAUAGGGAGCUGUCGCGAAAGCGAGUCUUAACUGGGCGCUCAGUCUCUGGAUAUAAACCCGAAACCGGGUGAUCAAGCCAUAGGCAGGUUGAAGGUUGAGUAACAUCAACUGGAGGACCGAACCGACUAAUGCUGAAAAAUUAGCGGUUGACUUGUGGCUAGGGUGAAAGGCCAAUCAAACUCGGAGAUAGCUGGUUCUCCCCGAAAGCGAUUUAGGUAGCGCCUCGGACGAAUACUACUGGGGUAGAGCACUGUAAAGGCUAGGGUCAUCCCGUCUUACCAACCCUUUGCAAGGGCGAAUACCAGUAAGUACUAUCCGGGAGACACACGGCGGGUGCUAACGUCCGUCGUGGAGUGGGAAACAACUCAAAACGCCAGCUAAGGUCCCAAAGUAUUGCUAAGUGGGAAACGAUGUGGGGAGGCUCAGAUAGCUAGGAAAUUGGCUUAGAAGCAGCCAUCAUUUAAAGAAAGCGGAAUAGCUCACUAGUCGAGUCGGCCUGCACGGAAGAUGUAACGGGCUAAGCAAUACACCGAAGCUGCGGCAAUGUCUUUCGACAUUGGGUAGGGGAGCGUUCUGUAAGCCGUUGAAGGUGAAUCGUAAGGUUUGCUGGAGGUAUAAGAAGGGCGAAUGCUGACUUGAGUGACGACAAAGCGGAGAAAACCUCCUCGCCGGAAGACCAAGGGUUCCUGUCCAACGUUAAUCGGGCAGGGUGAGUCGACCCUAAGGUGAGGCCGAAAGGCGUAAUCGAUGGGAAACGGGUUAAUAUUCCCGGACUUCUGACUAUUGCGAUGGGGACGGAGAAGGCUAGGUGGGCCAGGCGACGGUUGUCCUGGUUCAAGUGCGUAGGCUUGAGAGUUAGGUAAAUCCGGCUCUCUAAGUCUGAGACACGACGUCGAGCUACUACGGUAGUGAUGUCAUUAAUGCCAUGCUUCCAAGAAAGCCUCUAAGCUUUAGAUAGUUAGGAAUCGUACCCCAAACCGACACAGGUGGUCGGGUAGAGAAUACCAAGGCGCUUGAGAGAACUCGGGUGAAGGAACUAGGCAAAAUGGUACCGUAACUUCGGGAGAAGGUACGCUCUUGAUGGUGAAGUCCCUCGCGGAUGGAGCUGACGAGAGUCGCAGAUACCAGGUGGCUGCAACUGUUUAUUAAAACACAGCACUGUGCAAAAUCGCAAGAUGACGUAUACGGUGUGACGCCGGCCCGGUGCCGGAAGGUUAAUUGAUGGGGUUAGCGCAAGCGAAGCUCUUGAUCGAAGCCCCGGUAAACGGCGGCCGUAACUAUAACGGUCCUAAGGUAGCGAAAUUCCUUGUCGGGUAAGUUCCGACCUGCACGAAUGGCGUAAUGAUGGCCACGCUGUCUCCACCCGAGACUCAAUGAAAUUGAAAUCGCUGUGAAGAUGCAGUGUACCCGCGGCUUGACGGAAAGACCCCGUGAACCUUUACUACAGCUUGGCACUGAACAUUGAACCUACAUGUAGGAUAGGUGGGAGGCUAUGAACACGUGACGCCAGUUGCGUUGGAGCCGUCCUUGAAAUACCACCCUUGUAUGUUUAAUGUUCUAACUUAGACCCAUUAUCUGGGUUGAGGACAGUGCCUGGUGGGUAGUUUGACUGGGGCGGUCUCCUCCCAAAGAGUAACGGAGGAGCACGAAGGUGGGCUAAUCACGGUUGGACAUCGUGAGGUUAGUGCAAUGGCAUAAGCCCGCUUAACUGCGAGAAUGACGGUUCGAGCAGGUGCGAAAGCAGGUCAUAGUGAUCCGGUGGUUCUAUAUGGAAGGGCCAUCGCUCAACGGAUAAAAGGUACGCAGGGAUAAAAGGCUGAUACCGCCCAAGAGUUCAUAUCGACGGCGGUGUUUGGCACCUCGAUGUCGGCUCAUCACAUCCUGGGGCUGAAGUCGGUCCAAAGGGUAUGGCUGUUCGCCAUUUAAAGUGGUACGCGAGCUGGGUUUAGAACGUCGUGAGACAGUUCGGUCCCAAUCUGCCGUGGGCGUUGGAAGAUUGAAGGGGCUGCUCUUUGUACGAGAGGACUGGAGUGGACGAACCUCUGGUGUUCGGGUUGUGUCGCCAGACGCAUUGCCCGGUAGCUAAGUUCGGAAUUGAUAAGCGCUGAAAGCAUCUAAGCGCGAAGCGAGCCCUGAGAUGAGUCUUCCUGAUACUUUAUGAAUCCUAAAGGGUUGUUCUAGACUAAAACGUUGAUAGGCAGGGUGUGUAAGCGUUGUGAGGCGUUGAGCUAACCUGUACUAAUUGCCCGUGAGGAUUAACCAUACAACACCCACGG
rnacentral:rRNA from 1 species